rnacentral:sRNA from 1 species
AAACGAAAAUAUAUAAAAUAUGGGAAAUUUACAACAUUCCUCAUUGUCUACUGUAACAUUCUUAAAUGUGAAAUAAGCAACUUCAUCAUCUUCCCACCCAUUGAGGGAAAAUGGCCAACGAUCUGAGAAUAUCUCAAGAAGAGCAUUAUGUAGGAGGUCUCUCCAAUGCUUGUAUUUGAGAUACCGAGCUCCCGGAUGUGGUAAGAAAAUUUUGUUUUUGAUAGUAUCUAUUGCCACCAUAAACAAUUCCAAAUCAUUGGAAAAUAGAGAGUAGAGAUUAUCUUCCGAUGUGUGUUCCUCCUCAGUAAAACUUUCUAGAGCAAGCCUUUUCUGACACUUGGUUGUCAAAGAGUUUUUUUUUUAAAAUUCCCAAUCCCAACCUUCCUUUGAAAGAAACAACAUUUUGGGAGGAUUACUACUCCCUUGCCCCAAACCAAAACGGCCACAAACUAGAGAUUUUGUAGCAAAUGAAUUCAUCUUUGAAAGAAAGAGAAAUUUCUUGAAAGAAUGAAGACUUUGAAAAAGUGUUUGCAGGAGAGAUUGAAAGAGUUUGAAAAAGUGUUUGCAAAAGAGAUUGAAGCUUCAAGAUUAUAUUUAAAGAGAUAUGAAGGUAAUUUAAAGAGAGAAGAGUUCACAGAUCUCCUAGAAUUUACUCGAUACAUGACAAAUACCCAAAUUCUCUUUUUUUUCUGUUUCCUGAGACUUUUCCUUGAAUCCUCUUCCCUCCUACCAAAUAUCUGGAAAUUUG